AGCGAAGGUCCGGUCAGGGAGUAGACAGCCCCCAGGAAGAGGAACGGGAGGAUGUUCUCCAAGUCGUUGAGGUGGGCCCUAAAGGAAAACCUGUGAUCAGCUCCUAGGGUGUCACUGAAACCAAGGCAAGCAAUACACAAAGGUUCACAACAAUGGAUUUCUGGGAAAACCCAAUCCUAGAGGAACUGGUUUUACUCACUGAAGACCAUUUAACUGGUUGGAAGGCCUCCUUGCC